CUGACGUUUCUAGCGAUCGCGGCCGUUGUGGCACAAUACGAGUUCUCCAUGUCCGGGAGUAGAAACCUCCCUAACUACAUAAAGAAAUCGCUACGUGAAAAGAAUCACUAUAAAGCUGUACCGAGAGAGAGAAAAAGAACAUUAUCUAACCUCACGCUGCAAGAGGUGUUCGAUAAAAUAAAAGACAUUACCAGAGCGCUCAACCUACACGCAAAAAGAAAUGGAUAUUUUGUCGAUUACAAGUUCCGAAUGCUGGGCACAACAUGAAUGAUUUUAAAACAUUUUUUCGUGGUAAGGCGUGAAAUUUGAGAUAAGCGCCAUCUAGUUUAAAGUUCAG